rnacentral:rRNA from 1 species
GUUGGUGGGGUAAUGGCCUACCAAGGCGACGACGGGUAGCCGACCUGAGAGGGUGACCGGCCACACUGGGACUGAGACACGGCCCAGACUCCUACGGGAGGCAGCAGUGGGGAAUAUUGCACAAUGGGCGAAAGCCUGAUGCAGCGACGCCGCGUGAGGGAUGAAGGCCUUCGGGUUGUAAACCUCUUUCAGCAGGGACGAAGCGCAAGUGACGGUACCUGCAGAAGAAGCACCGGCUAACUACGUGCCAGCAGCCGCGGUAAUACGUAGGGUGCGAGCGUUGUCCGGAAUUACUGGGCGUAAAGAGUUCGUAGGCGGUUUGUCGCGUCGUUUGUGAAAACCCGGGGCUCAACUUCGGGCUUGCAGGCGAUACGGGCAGACUUGAGUGUUUCAGGGGAGACUGGAAUUCCUGGUGUAGCGGUGAAAUGCGCAGAUAUCAGGAGGAACACCGGUGGCGAAGGCGGGUCUCUGGGAAACAACUGACGCUGAGGAACGAAAGCGUGGGUAGCAAACAGGAUUAGAUACCCUGGUAGUCCACGCCGUAAACGGUGGGCGCUAGGUGUGGGUUCCUUCCACGGAAUCUGUGCCGUAGCUAACGCAUUAAGCGCCC